rnacentral:lncRNA from 1 species
AAAAACUGGGUAUCAGGGUGAGGAGGCCUCCUACUCGCUUCUUCAACCUCAACCUUCUUCCCACUCUUCUCAGGCCUUAAAUGAUCAGUCAAAGGUGGCCGGGCUUCCAUUUCAACCUCAACCUUCUUCCCACUCUUCUCAGGCCUUGAAUGAUCAGUCAAAGGUGGCCGGGCUUCCAUUUCAACCUCAACCUUGUUCCCACCCUUCUCAGGCCUUGAAUGAUCAGCCAAAGGUGGCCGGGCUUCCAUUUCAACCUCAACCUUCUUCCCACUCUUCUCGGGCCGUGAAUGAUUGACCAAAGGCAGCUGAGCUUCUAUUUUACCAUUAAUC